AUUGAACGCUGGCGGCAUGCCUUACACAUGCAAGUCGAACGGUAACAGGUCUUCGGAUGCUGACGAGUGGCGAACGGGUGAGUAAUACAUCGGAACGUGCCUAGUAGUGGGGGAUAACUACUCGAAAGAGUGGCUACUACCGCAUGAGAUCUACGGAUGAAAGCAGGGGAUCGCAAGAACUUGCGUUACUAGAGCGGCCGAUUGUAGAUUAGGUAGUUGGUGGGAUAAAAGCUGACCAAGCCGACGAGCUGUAGCUGGUCUGAGAGGACGAUCAGCCACACUGGGACUGAGACACGGCCCAGACUCCUACGGGAGGCAGCAGUGGGGAAUUUUGGACAAUGGGCGAAAGCCUGAUCCAGCAAUGCCGCGUGCAGGAUGAAGGCCUUCGGGUUGUAAACUGCUUUUGUACGGAACGAAAAGCCCCGGGUUAAUACCCUGGGGUCAUGACGGUACCGUAAGAAUAAGCACCGGCUAACUACGUGCCAGCAGCCGCGGUAA
rnacentral:rRNA from 1 species